rnacentral:rRNA from 1 species
UACAGAGGGUGCAAGCGUUGUUCGGAAUUACUGGGCGUAAAGCGCGUGUAGGUGGCGUCGUAAGUCGGAUGUGAAAUCCCUCGGCUUAACCGAGGAAGUGCAUUCGAUACUGCGAUGCUUGAGUACCGGAGGGGAUGGCGGAAUUCCCGGUGUAGAGGUGAAAUUCGUAGAUAUCGGGAGGAACACCUGUGGCGAAGGCGGCCAUCUGGACGGUCACUGACACUGAGACGCGAAAGCGUGGGUAGCAAACAGG